rnacentral:rRNA from 1 species
UUGAACGCUGGCGGCAUGCCUUACACCUGCAAGUCGCACGGCAGCGCGGACUUCGGUCUGGCGGCGAGUGGCGAACGGGUGAGUAAUACAUCGGAACGUACCCUGUUGUGGGGGAUAACUAGUCGAAAGAUUAGCUAAUACCGCAUACGACCUGAGGGUGAAAGUGGGGGACCGCAAGGCCUCACGCAGCAGGAGCGGCCGAUGUCUGAUUAGCUAGUUGGUGGGGUAAAGGCCCACCAAGGCGACGAUCAGUAGCUGGUCUGAGAGGACGAUCAGCCACACUGGGACUGAGACACGGCCCAGACUCCUACGGGAGGCAGCAGUGGGGAAUUUUGGACAAUGGGGGCAACCCUGAUCCAGCAAUGCCGCGUGUGUGAAGAAGGCCUUCGGGUUGUAAAGCACUUUUGUCCGGAAAGAAAUCGCGCUGGUUAAUACCUGGCGUGGAUGACGGUACCGGAAGAAUAAGCACCGGCUAACUACGUG